CUGUUUUACAGGAAAGUCAAAGUUAAGGCUGGCCCACUGUUGGUAACUACAUGGAGAGUGAUGUUGUGAGAUGCAAGAAAGACUUUGGCACGGGUUUCCAAUAUGCACGGAAGGAUCUCACACCCAGAUGGGUAAAAUCAAUCAAUGCUCUUCCACUGGUUGCUGGGAUAUUGGGUCAACCAACCCUGGCUCCCUUCAGAUCAUGGAAGGCGAAGUCAGAAGUGAGAACUUCUUACUAACAUACUGGAAGGAUAAAUGGGAAUGCUUUUAUUUUAGCAGUUGUCACAGAGCAUGGUGGCGAAUGGAAAGAAGAACUGAAGAUGUGCUAAAAGCAAGAGUCUGUCUACGAGAACACAGAAAACAGCACGAUCUGGACUGUGCCUUCUGCUGCAACGUAGCAGACUACAGACACUGAUCCAGGACCUUGAGCAAUAGAGUCCUGUGGUUUGGUUUCCCUUCUGGCACAUUAAUUGCAUCAGGAUCUAGGUUUAUUCAUGGCACUUUCCAUUUAUGAUUUAGGGAAUUUGAAGAAUACUGUUCUUGAGGCUGAGCCUGCAGUUAUAGUCUUGGCAUAUCCAUACCAUAAAAUUCCCGCGGAUAAAAGCAGAAACAUCUGGAUUCAUGACUGGAUGUUGGCUAGAUCCACCAGGAAAAAAAAAGCCUUCAAGGGAUCCUAGAGGGUUCUAGCCAGGAUAAAUAAUACAACAAAAUAAGAGUGCUAUUAAGAGUAAUUGUAAUGCAAAAGCUGAAUUAUAAGAUGAGGACCAAGCCCUUCUCGCAAUCUGCUUUUCCAGCUAAGAGCCCUUCAAUUCACACUUAGUGCACAUGUGGCUCGUGGAACAAAGAAAAAACUGAAGAAGGAUGAAAGCAACACAGAUUAUUCAGCAUUGCUGGUUUAGCUCCAGGCCCAUCAUUUAAAUGAGUAGAUGAUCAGUUUCCAGUUUGUUUUAAAUUCUCUGGCAAGAAAUUUUAUUCUCUAUCCCAAAGUUGGAUGUGCUUAAUGGUGUUUUUUUUUAUUUUUAUUUUUUAAAGCAGCUUUGCCAUUUUGUUAUAUUCCUCAAGGUGAGACCAUGAAAGGGUUCUUGCAGGGGUCACCUGAAUCGUGAGACUGGAGGCACAGGCUGACUGUGUUCCAAGGGGUCCAUGUUGCAUUUCUCAGCCUGGGGGGGCCUCAGGGCUGGAGAACUUCUGCUCCUUUCCCUCCUCCCCCUUGGGCGGCCAGGGGCCCUGCCUUGCCUAGCCAGACAUCAAACCCAUGCUGGGCAGCACCUGAAGUUGAGGGAAGUGGUUGUAGCAGCUGUGAUCCACAGAUCUGCAGCCUCUUUUGCUGCACCACUUGUGGGUGGAAACCUUAUCGGUGAGUCCUUCUCCUGUCUUUCUUCUUGUUCUCUUCUUCUCUGUGCCGGCAUCCAACUGGCUGAGUGGCUCCUGAGGAGCUGUUCUGUUGGUGCCACUCUUGACAGUGAUUUUUCAUGGAGAGGCUUUCAGUUGUUCCCUGAAGAGAUGUCUCCUGUUGCGGUGUUCUGCCAAUAAUUAAUGCACUCUGAACACUGCCAUGGGGCUCUGGGUGGUGCACACACAUUUGGAGCUGGGCAAUACUCAAAGCACGACUGCAAAUAGCAGUGAUGUGCAAAUGACUGUGUUUACACUGCCUUAUCUUUCAUACGAAGAAUAAUCUUAAUUGCACUAUAAGGAGUGGGAGUUUGGCCUUAAAUAGCCUCGACACAUCUAGGAAAGGCAUCUAAAAGUAUGCCCCAGUAUUUCUUAGGACAUUAUUCUCAGCAGAUAUUUGUUAUUGUUGUCUAAUUAAUUGUCAACAUCUGUCGCUGCUGCUGCAUAAGGGCUGGCACCAGCCGUCAGGGCAUUGCAUUCUGCUAGCGUGACAAAGCAUCAUGAGUGCCAAAGCAAAAUGAGGAGAUGAAUCUUCUUGUAGAUGUUAGAAAAUAUUUGGUUCAGAUCAGCUGCUAUCGCUGCUGCUGGCCACGUUUGUCGUGCUAUUCCUCCACCCAGAGUGAAGUCGGCAAAGAGAUCUUCUGAGACUGUGGGGCUCUUGGUUAGCAGCAAACAGCCUGAGAAGCUGAGAAAUGCAGCAGAGCUAAAUUUAGAACCUCAGAUAGGAAAAUGUCUCUAUCUUCAACACUCCGGGUUUUUUUCUUCUGCUCUGCACAAAGCACACCUUGGUUUGCGGGGCUGUUUGCGGAUCGCGCAGACUCAAAGCAGGCUUUGGUUUGUGGAAAAAGAAGGCUUUGAUGUCUUUGGUAAACAAAUAGCGGUGUUAAUAGAUCUUCAGUUCUUGCUAGCAAGCUGCAAACAGCAAUGUUUGAAGAAAAAUAAACAUCCUGAGGUUGAUGGAAGGGUAGGAAGGGCAUAAAGUACUGUUGUCAAAUCCUUGGUCUGAGCCCAUCAGGAAUGUCAGAAAUGAAAAAGCUGUCGUUACUUUCUCCCUCCUUCUGGGUCAGGAGGAAAAUAAACUGGUGCAUGGUUUACCAGCCACA